GAAAGGCGCUUUUGCGUCACUGAUGGAUGGACCCGCGGUGCAUUAGCUAGUUGGUGAGGUAACGGCUCACCAAGGCCACGAUGCAUAGCCGACCUGAGAGGGUGAUCGGCCACACUGGGACUGAGACACGGCCCAGACUCCUACGGGAGGCAGCAGUAGGGAAUCUUCGGCAAUGGACGAAAGUCUGACCGAGCAACGCCGCGUGAGUGAAGAAGGUUUUCGGAUCGUAAAACUCUGUUGUUAGAGAAGAACAAGGAUGAGAGUAAAAUGUUCAUCCCUUGACGGUAUCUAACCAGAAAGCCACGGCUAACUACGUGCCAGCAGCCGCGGUAAUACGUAGGUGGCAAGCGUUGUCCGGAUUUAUUGGGCGUAAAGCGAGCGCAGGCGGUUUCUUAAGUCUGAUGUGAAAGCCCCCGGCUCAACCGGGGAGGGUCAUUGGAAACUGGGAGACUUGAGUGCAGAAGAGGAGAGUGGAAUUCCAUGUGUAGCGGUGAAAUGCGUAGAUAUAUGGAGGAACACCAGUGGCGAAGGCGGCUCUCUGGUCUGUAACUGACGCUGAGGCUCGAAAGCGUGGGGAGCGAACAGGAUUAGAUACCCUGGUAGUCCACGCCGUAAACGAUGAGUGCUAAGUGUUGGAGGG
rnacentral:rRNA from 1 species